rnacentral:sRNA from 1 species
UUUGGGUGUAGUGGUGUGUACCAAUAGUCCCAGCUGCUUAGGAGGCUGAGGCAGGAGGAUCAAUUGAGUCUAAGAGUUCAUGACCAGCCUAGGCAACACGUUAAGACCUUAUCUCAA